rnacentral:rRNA from 1 species
UGGAGGGCAAGUCUGGUGCCAGCAGCCGCGGUAAUUCCAGCUCCAAUAGCGUAUAUUAAAGUUGUUGCAGUUAAAAAGCUCGUAGUUGAAUUUCGGGGUUAGUAGGUUGGUCGUGCCUCAGGUAUGUACUGAUCUCACUGAUUCCUCCUUCCUGAUGAACCGUAAUGCCAUUAAUUUGGUGUUGCGGGGAAACUGGACUGUUACUUUGAAAAGAUUAGAGUGUUUAAAGCAGGCUAACGCUUGAAUACAUUAGCAUGGAAUAAUGAAAUAGGACGUUCGAUCCUAUUUUGUUGGUUUCUAGGAUUGACGUAAUGAUUAAUAGGGAUAGUUGGGGGCAUUAGUAUUCAAUUGUCAGAGGUGAAAUUCUUGGAUUUAUUGAAGACUAACUACUGCGAAAGCAUUUGCCAAGGAUGUUUUCAUUAAUCAAGAACGAAAGUUAGGGGAUCGAAGACGAUCAGAUACCGUCGUAGUCUUAACCAUAAACUAUGCCGACUAGGGAUCGGACGAUGUUAACUUUUCUUGACUCGUUCGGCGCCUUACGGGAAACCAAAGUGUUUGGGUUC